UACGUAGGGUGCAAGCGUUGUCCGGAAUUAUUGGGCGUAAAGAGCGUGUAGGCGGCCCGAUUAGUCCGCUGUGAAAGUCCAGGGCUCAACCCUGGAAUGCCGGUGGAUACUGUCGGGCUAGAGUCCGGAAGGGGCGAGUGGAAUUCCUGGUGUAGCGGUGAAAUGCGCAGAUAUCAGGAAGAACACCCGUGGCGAAGGCGGCUCUCUGGGACGGUACUGACGCUGAGACGCGAAAGCGUGGGGAGCGAACAGG
rnacentral:rRNA from 1 species